ensembl:lncRNA hemicentin-2-like
AUGCUUCGUUAUGUCGCACAAACAGUCCAGCUCACAUCCACACUUUUCAUCCCAGAGAUCUGUGAACCGGUGAAGGGUGCAAAGAUUGUCGUCCCUUCAGGCCAAGUGGAGUUUUUUGAGGGGAAGACACUGGAGCUACGCUGUAAACCUACUGUUGGAAAUCAUGUCUCCUACUCGUGGAUGCUGAAUGGUCAGCUUGUCUCUCAAUCUCGUCUCCUCUAUGUUGCAGAUGACUAUCUCUUGAUCAAGAGAACUACUUCUCAAGAUAGCGGCUCCUACAUGUGUGUCGCCACCAACGAAUUCAACAAAACAGACGUCUUUACCGCCAACAGCUCUGAAGUUGUAAUCACAGUGAAAGACCUGGUGUCUAUCCCUGACAUCUCCUUUACCGUGUUAAAGGAAGAUUCCCACAACUAUUCAGCCAUGGUCGCCUGUCAGACAACCAAAGGGACUCCACCUGUCACCUUUUCACUGUACAACAGGAGAGGAUCGGUUGACAAUGUGACGGUUGAUAAGAGAGAUGUCACAUUUAAGGUUCCAAUGGUCUUGGGCCGGCACUUGGGAUGGCUCCAGUGCCAGGCAAACAAUGGAGAUGGGAUCGAGUACAGUCAAUGGAUUUCCUUAGAAGUUGUUCCUGUUGGUGGGCCUGUGACGAUGCGUUACGACUAUGACAUUGGAGAAAACUAUGCCGUGAUCAGCCUGAGGUUCUACUGCAAGGCAGCGAAGGGAUCUCUCCCACGGUACCAAUGGUUCCUCAACAAAACCCUCCUGCAUGACCGAGGAAGCUUCUACUACGUGGUCAACCAGCCUCCAGAAGAGUCUGUACUCAUCCUGUCUGUAGGGAGGAGCAGCACUGGAUCGUACCACUGUGAAGUGUCGGACAGCUUUGACAACACCACCGCCAUAAGCAGCAAGAUGCUGUAUUUGGAUAAAGAAGAGCUGAAUCGUCUCCGCUCCUUGGUGGUGGUAGUUGUCUUUGGAUGUUUCACAUUCCUGGUUCUUCUGGUCUCCAUUUGUUUGUGCAUUGGAGCGAAGUCCAGUCAAAGGCAGCUUGGAGAGAAGUCUCUGUUGAGCUUGGAGAUGGAGGGAAUGGUGGCUUCAAAUGAGGAUGAGCUGGAUUUCUCAGAGUACGAUGAGGAUGCUGAUGUAGUGAAGAUGGCCAGAGGUGGUGAAUUUGAUCAGGCAUCUGAAGUCUCUGUAGAUGAAUGGCCCCAAAUUGAAGAAGUGAAGAAAAUGUUGGAGGAUGAACCAGUUGAGGGACCCUGAGGGUUCAAACUGUUAUAAACACAGGCUGUGGUUGUUUAAUAAACAUUGGCUCAAGAUGUUCUGUGCUGUCACGUUUUUUCAGAAUAAUGAAUUAUUAUUCUUUCUAAAGUAUGUGUGCUGGUAGUAGUAAUAGCAGUCACUAUGGAAGCCCAUAGUAAAAGGAAAAAAAAAUCAAACAAGAUGAAAACUUAGCCUUGUGAUAAAAAAAAGUAAUUAUAAUACCAAACAUUCUCAGAAUAUUUGAGUUAGUAUCUCAAAAUACUGAGUUAGUAUGUCAGAAUAAUGAGUUAGUAUCUCAUAAAUAAUGAGUUAGUAUCUCAAAAUAAUGAAUUAGUAUCUCAGAAUAGUGACUUAGUAUCUCAGAAUAAUGACUUAGUAUCUCAGAAUAAUGACUUAGUAUCUCAGAAUAAUGAGUUAGUAUCUCAGAAUAAUGAG